rnacentral:rRNA from 1 species
GACGAACGCUGGCGGCGUGCUUAACACAUGCAAGUCGAACGGAAAGGCCCCCAUCUUGGUGGGGGUGCUCGAGUGGCGAACGGGUGAGUAACACGUGGGUGAUCUGCCCUGUACUUCGGGAUAAGCUUGGGAAACUGGGUCUAAUACCGGAUAGGACCAUGGUUUAGUGUCUCAUGGUGGAAAGAUUAUUGUUUUGGUGCAGGAUGAGCUCGCGGCCUAUCAGCUUGUUGGUGGGGUAAUGGCCUACCAAGGCGUCGACGGGUAGCCGGCCUGAGAGGGUGGACGGCCACAUUGGGACUGAGAUACGGCCCAGGCUCCUACGGGAGGCAGCAGUGGGGAAUAUUGCACAAUGGGCGCAAGCCUGAUGCAGCGACGCCGCGUGGGGGAUGACGGCCUUCGGGUUGUAAACUCCUUUCGUUAGGGACGAAGCCGCACUUUUUUUGGGUGUGGUGACGGUACCUUUGUUAAGAAGCACCGGCUAACUACGUG